rnacentral:rRNA from 1 species
ACCUUUAAAGAGUGCGUAAUAGCUCACUAGUCGAGAGUCUCUGCGCCGACAAUGUAACGGGGCUAAGUUAUAAACCGAAGCUGUGGAAUCCUUAUGGAUUGGUAGGAGAGCGUUCUGUAGGCUGUUGAAGAAGAAGGGUAACCAACUUUGGAGGUAUCAGAAGUGAGAAUGCAGGAAUAAGUAGCGAGAAAGGGGGCGAGAAUCCCCCUCGCCGGAAGACCAAGGUUUUCAGGGUGAAGCUUGUCUUCCCUGAGUAAGCCGGGACCUAAGCCCAGGCUAUAAUGCGUAGGCGAAUGGAAAACAGAUUAAUAUUUCUGUGCCAGUCAUUUAUUGUGAUGGAGGGACGCAGAAGGGUAUGUGCGCGGACGAUCGGUUGUGUCCGUAGAAGUAUGUAGGGUGACUUAGUAGGUAAAUCCAUUAAGUUAUAUCUGAGGUAUGAUAUACAGUCGUAAGAUGAAUGUACAAAUCCCACGCUGCCAAGAAAAACUUCUAACGUUAAUAUAUGACUGCCCGUACUGUAAACCGACACAGGUGGUCAGGAUGAGAAAUCUAAGGCGGACAGGCUAACUCUCGUUAAGGAACUCUGCAAAAUAACCUCGUAACUUCGGGAGAAGAGGAGCCCUUGUGUGUGAGUAUACACGCGAUACAAAGCACACGAGGGUCGCAGUGAAGAGGCUCAAGCAACUGUUUAACAAAAACACAGGUCUAUGCUAAGCUGUAAGGCGAUGUAUAUGGGCUGACACCUGCCCAGUGCUGGAAGGUUAAGAGGAGGAGUGAGAGCUCCGAAUUGAAGCCCCAGUGAACGGCGGCCGUAACUAUAACGGUCCUAAGGUAGCGAAAUUCCUUGUCGGGUAAGUUCCGACCUGCACGAAUGGUGUAAUGAUUUGAGCGCUGUCUUGACGGGAGGCCUGGUGAAAUUGUAUUACCGGUGAAGAUACCGGUUACCUACAGUAGGACGGAAAGACCCCAUGGAGCUUUACUGUAGCUUGGUAUUGGGUUUUGGCAUUGCAUGUAUAGGAUAGUUGGGAGACUAUGAUGGUAUGGCGCUAGCUGUAUCGGAGUCAUCGGUGGAAUACCAACCAUUCAAUGCUGAAAUUCUAAUCUGUGGUUUGAAGCCACGGAGACAGUGCUAGGUGGGCAGUUUGACUGGGGCGGUCGCCUCCGAAAGAGUAACGGAGGCGUUCAAAGGUUCUCUCAGGUUGGAUGGAAAUCAACCAUAGAGUGCAAUGGCAUAAGAGAGCUUGACUGCAAGACUGACGGGUCGAGCAGAUGCGAAAGCAGGACAUAGUGAUCCGGCGAUUCCGAAUGGAAGGGUCGUCGCUCAACGGAUAAAAGCUACCCUGGGGAUAACAGGCUGAUCCUACCCGAGAGUCCAUAUCGACGGUAGGGUUUGGCACCUCGAUGUCGGCUCAUCGCAUCCUGGGGCUGGAGAAGGUCCCAAGGGUUGGGCUGUUCGCCCAUUAAAGCGGUACGUGAGCUGGGUUCAGAACGUCGUGAGACAGUUCGGUCCCUAUCCACUGUAGGCGUUAGAAUAUUGAGAAGACCUGUCCUUAGUACGAGAGGACCGGGAUGGACAAACCUCUGAUGUACCAGUUGUCACGCCAGUGGCACAGCUGGGUAGUCACGUUUGGAAUAGAUAAUCGCUGAAAGCAUCUAAGCGAGAAACUAACUUCAAGAUAAGUAUUCU